UAAGAGAAACCAAAAAAAUUGAAAUGUAACUAUUGAAAUCCCCAACAUAGUACUGGAAUCCACAAUUGGCCAAUCCAAAACUAUACAUUGACCAACUUCCACACCAUACACCUACGUAACCCAACUGUGUAUUCAGACAGAAAGUGGUAGGUUGGGACUAUGCACGAGAAUCAAUGUCCAAAUUCUACUCUAUCAAAUUGCAAAAAUAAAAAUAAAAUAAAACCGCAAUAUAAAAACGGGAUUUCAGUUAAACAAACAGAAGGCAAGACUAAAAAAUCACACUUCAAUGGCACAAUAAUUAAAAGAAGAUGGUGAUUACUUUGUUUGACGAUGCCGAUCCCUUUGUUCCAUCCUAUUUUAAUAGGACUAUUCAAUAAAAUUAAAAAGACUAUUUAAUACUGCAUAUCACUAGUGGUUGUUGAGAAGAGUCUCAAGGAUUAAUUUCUCCAAGUUCUGGUAGGAAGAGCCACCAUGUUUAGCUGCCAACUGAGCCUUUUCUUCCCAUUCCAGUGCCUUCUUUCUCAUUUCCUUCCCCUUUUCCCCCUCCAUCAUCACUCUCACCAU
rnacentral:lncRNA from 1 species